rnacentral:rRNA from 1 species
UACAGAGGUCCCAAGCGUUGUUCGGAUUCACUGGGCGUAAAGGGUGCGUAGGUGGCUUGGUAAGUUUGAUGUGAAAUCUCCGGGCUUAACCCGGAAAUGGCAUUGAAUACUAUUGAGCUGGAGGUUUGGAGGGGGGACUGGAAUUCUCGGUGUAGCAGUGAAAUGCGUAGAGAUCAUGAGGAAGACCAGUGGCGAAGGCGGGUCUCUGGACAGUUCCUGACACUGAGACACGAAGGCCAGGGGAGCAAACGGG